rnacentral:rRNA from 1 species
UUGGAGGGCAAGUCUGGUGCCAGCAGCCGCGGUAAUUCCAGCUCCAAUAGCGUAUAUUAAAGUUGUUGCAGUUAAAAAGCUCGUAGUUGAAUUUCGGGGUUAGUAGGUUGGUCAUGCCUCUGAUAUGUACUGAUCUCACUGAUUCCUCCUUCCUUAUGAACCGUAAUGCCAUUAAUUUGGUGUUGCGGGGAAUUUGGACUGUUACUUUGAAAAAAUUAGAGUGUUUAAAGCAGGCUAACGCUUGAAUACAUUAGCAUGGAAUAAUGAAAUAGGACGUUCGAUCUUAUUUUGUUGGUUUCUAGGAUUGACGUAAUGAUUAAUAGGGAUAGUUGGGGGCAUUAGUAUCCAAUUGUCAGAGGUGAAAUUCUUGGAUUUAUUGAAGACUAACUACUGCGAAAGCAUUUGCCAAGGAUGUUUUCAUUAAUCAAGAACGAAAGUUAGGGGAUCGAAGACGAUCAGAUACCGUCGUAGUCUUAACCAUAAACUAUGCCGACUAGGGAUCGGAUGAUGUUAAUUUUUUAAUGACUCAUUCGGCGCCUUACGGGAAAC